UUUUUUUUUUUAUCUUUUUGCCUUUUCUAGGGCCACUUCCUGAGGCAUGUGGAGGUUCCCAGGAAAGCAUCUGCUGACUUUGAUGGACUCCUAUCCCAACUUCGAUUUGGGAGUAAUUAAAGACCAUGUGGGAGGGGCAAUCACAAUAACAACUGAAACAUCGGCUCCAUUAUCUGUUAAUCCCCUGAUAUUUUUUUCCAUUAACCGUAAUAGUCAUUCGUGGACGUUCAGUUGUGACUUCCUGAGUCCAAAAGACUUGAGAAGUCCCUGCACUUCCAAUCCUGAUGUUCCCCUUUCUUUAUGAGGACUCUGUCCUAUUUUAAGAUAUGGCAGCAGUAACAAUUGAGCAAUCCUCCUUCCAGGAUGCAAAGGAAGUAGGGUUUUGGAUUUCAUCAUCACUUUAAUCUCUCCUUGACAGUCUGCAUCUAUCACUCCAGGCAAAACUUGUAAGCCUCUCAAGGUUAAGCCACUUCUCCCUCUAAUGAGGCCUACGGUGUCCGGAGGAAGAGGGCCACAAAUUCCUGGAGGGACUGCCUGAAAGCCCUGUUCAUACGUUAAAACAGCUGCUGUGGCGCCCGGCAAGUCCAACGCUUGGGAAGCCCCUGGGAGGGAUCGGAUGCCUUUUCGGUUGGAGCCACAAAAGCCCACAUUGUUGGACGGGGCCGGGGCUGGCCCUGGUUCCCGUUUCCCGACACCAGAGUGGUUAAUGGAGUACCAUUUCGGUGAAACUUAGAUCGGCAUUGAUUAGCCCAGUGAUUCCCUUUCUGACAGCGAGGACAUAAGCCGGGGUUCUGACUGGGUCCUGGAGAUGAUCCUGUUGCAGAGGGUGCCUUUUCUUUUGGGGGGGCUCGGCAUUCUCUCUGAAAGUGUCCUACCUUUCCACAGUUAAAGCAUGUCUUUCCUGAGCGGCCAAGUGCUCUUUUCAAUGCUGCAGCAAGCAGCUCUUGAGUAUGACCUACACUCCCUACAUCCUGACAUGCCUUAAUAUAAUCAAAGAGGUCUCCUGAAAUUUCUUACAGGGGCCAUUGCCCUUCUACAGUCUUUAUUUGCGUUUUCGUAUGCCAAUAGUUUAAUUAAAAUAUCAGCCACCUGAGAAUGGGCUACUUGGCGAUGGACGGCCUGUGUUAGGCGGUCCACAAAUUGUGAGUAAGGUUCUGUAGGGCCUUGAAGGCAACGUGUAAAAGAUCCUUGUGGCUUUCCUGUCCCAGGAAUUGUCUUCCACGCUCUUUGGGCGGCCAGGCUCAACUGCUCAUACGCCAGAGGAUCAUAAGCCAGUUGUUUUGUUACGUCAAGAAAAGGGCCUGUCCCCACCAACAUUUCAAAAGUAAUUGGAACAUGAUCUCUUUUAUUUAAGCAAGCCUGUUCCCGACAAAAAUCUGAAAGACUAGACUUCCAAAUUAAAUAAUCUAUACCAUCCAGGGUGGCUUUGGCUAUCAUAUGCCAGUCCCACGGGGGAAGCUGGAGUGUCCCCACGCUUUCUACCAAGCGCAUCGUAAAGGGAGCUGUCACUCCGUUCUGUAUCACACUCUCCCGGAGAGCUUUAAGAUCUUUAAAAUCAAAAGUGUUCUGCGCAUGGAUAUUUCGUCCUGGGACUUGAGGAUUGGGGACAAUAGGUAUAGGGCACGCUAAAAAGGUCCGAUCCUCUAGACUAGCUGACUUUAAGGCUGAUUGAAGGGGAGUUAGUGCUGCCGCCACAGCUAACGGCCUAUUUAAACUCUCAUCAAGAAAGGGAUCGGCCUGAGGGGGAGCAGAAGCUAUAGGCUUUUCUUUAUGUUCCCGUAAGGGCUCCAAAACACGUCUUACUAGUUCCCAUGUAGAAAAAACAGAAACAGAAAGAGAGGCCCCCGACCGAUGGGCGUGCCUUAAAUUUUUCCCCACGAGAUCCCAGCAUUCCGGGUCCACAGUACCCUCGCCUGGAAACCAAGGGUUAUAUUUGACCACGGCUUCUAACAAUUCCUCGAUCUCAGACCCUGUUACCUGAGCCCCCGACCAUUUCAACACACAUUUCAGCAACUGAAUAUAAUGUUUGGUUUCCUGUGAUUGAUUCUGCCCCAUUGUUAUCCUGGCUUAAAGUUUCUACUUACUCACGGUUGCGAUUCCGUCGAGUGCAAUGCUACCGUCUCCGCCGUCUGUAGUUGCACUUUUUCCUGCUCGUGGCCCAACUUCUCUUUCCUCUGCUCGUGGCAGUGUUAUGGCAGCUGCCCAGAAGCCCUGGGCCGCAGCGUAUCAGUUCUGGCGACAGCCCUGUGGCUGUCGUGUCCCAGCUCCAGCAGCUCUGUGGCUGCAGUGGAUCAGCUCUUUGACCCGGCGAGAAACCAAGCGAGCACUUGGAGAGUUGGAGAACUCAGGUUUAUGACGCCGGCGGGCUCAGAGGAGAUCACUCUCCGGAGUCU
rnacentral:lncRNA from 1 species